rnacentral:tRNA from 1 species
ACCUUAUAGUAUAAAAAUAAUAUUAAAUUGCAAGUUUAAAGAUGUGUUGAUCACUAGGGUU